rnacentral:rRNA from 1 species
GUCCACGCAGUAAACGAUGAUCACUAGACGUUUGGGAUUUUCCUGAGUGUCGCAGCUAACGCGUUAAGUGGUCCACCUGAGUAGUACGAUCGCAAGAUUAAAACUUAAAGAAAUUGACGGGGGUCCGCACAAGCGGUGGAACAUGUGGUUUAAUUCGACAAUACGCGAGAAACCUUACCUGGGUUUGACAUGUAUAUGAUCGUUGUAGAAACACAACCUUUUUGUAGAAAUAUAAGACAUAUGCACAGGUGCUGCAUGGCUGUCGU